CUCUAAUCUCCCUCCUGGCUGACAGUACGGGCUCCCCAGGUUUUCUCAUUAACCCCUCAGGACAGCUCUGUAAGGAUGGUAUGGUCAGUCCCAUUUCACAGAUGACUAACUCAGGCUCACAGAGUCUAAGUCAUCUCCCCAGUGUACAGUAACUAUUUUUCCUGUAUCGAGAGAGCAUAUGGAGAGAAGAAGGAAAACACAUGUUUCUAAUUUCACUGUGAGUCACUGUCAUUUCUAUGUGGUGGAAUGAGCACCCUGCUGGGCCUGGGGGAAGGGAAGAAAGCGGUUCUACCAUCUCCAUCCAACUGAGUCAUGGACCCCAUGAG
rnacentral:lncRNA from 1 species